rnacentral:sRNA from 1 species
UAGUUGUAGGUGCAGUUCUGUCAAGUG